GGGAAUGUGGCUUAGUGGUAAAGUGCUUGCCUAGCAUGCAUGAAGCCCUGAGUUCAAUUGCUCAGUACCA
rfam:Dipodomys ordii contig_16180, whole genome shotgun sequence.